rnacentral:misc_RNA from 1 species
GAUGAAGAACGCAGCGAAAUGCGAUACGUAAUGUGAAUUGCAGAUCUCUCAGUGAACCAUCGAAUCUUUGAACGCACAUUGCGCCCGUCAGUAUUCUGGCGGGCAUGCCUGUUCGAGCGUCAUUACGCCCCUCAAGUCCCCUGUGGACUUGGUGUUGGGGAUCGGCGAGGCUGGUUUUCCAGCACAGCCGUCCCUUAAAUUAAUUGGCGGUCUCGCCGUGGCCCUCCUCUGCGCAGUAGUAAAACACUCGCAACAGGAGCCCGGCGCGGUCCACUGCCGUAAAACCCCCCAACUUUUUAUAGUUGACCUCGAAUCAGGUAGGACUACCCGCUGAACUUAAGCAUAUCAAUAAGCGGAGGA